ensembl:lncRNA
CACACCAGGCCUCCAAGCCCAGCAGCACUGACGCUGGUGGAAAAAGUCAGGUGGACACAGGCCUGGCUGCUGCCUGCUCUACCACGUAUUGGGGUGACUUACCAAGAAAGAGUGAGGUUGUGGAGAACGAACAAUCAGGGCCCCCAGGACACACGCCUCUAGGGACUCCUGCCUUUGCUUACCCCCGUCCUGUGUGGACGCCAGGCUUGGUCCUGUGAUUCGGGGCAGCCAGUUCCACACCAACAGUGGCUCCAUAAGCACGUGCUCACGGGUUUGUCCUCGCAGAGAAGCUCAGCUGCACAGCUCAGUGUUAACGCCGUGUGGAGAGAAGCCCAGAGAACAAGAGGCCUCUGGGCCUCUCCACUGGGGUCAAGCUCCCAGCUGCAAGCAGCUUCACAGGAGGGGAGGUGGUCAGCCCCGGGGAGCAGAACCGCCCAGCUGAAGCCUGUCAACCACAGAAUCACGGGAAACAAUAAAGUGUUGCUGUAUGAGUCUGAGCUUUCAGAUGGCGUCUCACCCAAGCAACAGAUAACUCAAACAGAGGCACUGAAGCCUGGACCCCCCACCAGAGGAGAGGAACCUUACCCAUCCAUCUCAAGAAAAUGACUUACUCCUGGGGCCUCAGUCAACUGCCCAAGAAUGAAGUCAGCAGGCGUUAAUGAAGCCACAGUGAGGAUUCCCAACUACCCGGAUCAGUUUUGCCCCUCCUGGGAAGAGAUCCUGUUUCUGUCCACCAAUAGAAACCAAGAAAAUAGCUCUGGCCAUCUUGUGGAAGGAGGCAGGCUUUGCUGAACAAGCUGAAUGCAGCCACUCAACAAAGCCAAGCCCUCAGCUGGGAGCAGCAGGGGCCCUUUCUCUGGCC